ACAGAACUCUCUGGAUGACUAUUAUCUGACUUACUCGGUGCUUCCUAACCUGUCAGACUCCUUCUGGCCUUAUAGGAGCACAGCCGUCUUCUCACCUGAGGACCUGGAUGUCUCUUAUGCUCGGGAUGUAACCAAAAAUCUUGCUGAUCUUGAGGAUGAGGAAAAUCAAGACAUCAUCUGUUCUAGUAUGGAGCAGCUGGUGGUAGAAGAGAAUGAAGUCCACCCGGACUCACUGGAUGAAUGUUAUCUGGCUGCUUCUAUUGGCCAUCAUCUGGAAGGCUCCUGUCAUCCUUCUAGGAGUGUCUCCUUCCCAACAGAGAAGAGAGAGGUUUUCUUGGCUCUAGAUGUA